GCCCAAAGUCGCACGUGCCUGUGGGUGUCCGCCGGACCUCGAAUAUGGCGAGGAAACCGGUACGGUACCUGGACCUAACCGCUCCAGUCGGUCUGAUGGCCAACCAUCAAACCGAGGACAUCUUGAAGCAACGACGGUGCGGGCCUUU
rfam:Nitratireductor aquibiodomus RA22 Contig26, whole genome shotgun sequence.